rnacentral:tRNA from 1 species
CGCGGGGUAGAGCAGCCUGGUAGCUCGCCAGGCCCAUAACCUGGAGGCCGGUGGUUCAAAUCCACCCUCCGCAACCA